UAGGGUAAGUUCUGACCUCUGGCCCAUGACAGAUCUGACUAUCUGCAGUGAUGCUUUUGUAUUUUCAUCUGCUCCCUGCCCAUUUGCUCGGUGAAGUGUCCUGUAAUCCGAGGCUGCCUUAAUUUAGUCUUUCUGUAUUUGUUUAAAGUGUGGUAUGUUACUUGCACCUUAUAAAUGUUAGUAAUUAAGACUGUAAUAAAAUAACCUGUGAUCACCUGGCUCAUGACUACCAAAUGACUGACCCACGAGUAUUCAGUGAAUUGAAACCUAUGAAGGUGUGAGUUUAUUGUUAUUCAGUAAAUUCUGACAUUGUAGAAAGACACAAGUGGUGUCUGACCUAUGCUGACUGCAUAACUAGGUCAAGACAACCUCCUACACCGGGUCGGUUGCUCUGAAGUCACUUUCCUUCUUCAGGGUUGAGCUGGGAUCCUUGGCAGGCUGACUCUCGGAAAAGCAGCCUUCCCAAUUCCAGGAGGAGUGUCCAGGGCUGGGCUCUGCCAAGCUAAGAGCAGCCUCUAGAGGGCCGGACCCAGGGCCCUACGCCAGAGUGACUAAGGACUCCUCCGGGCUCAGCUUCCGUGACCACCGACUUGAAGCCCUCCAGAUGUCCUAGAGCGGCGCCCCGGAGGUGGGGGGCAGGGAGCAGCUGCUUCCGGGGGCUCAGGACUGGGGGCAGGGACGGACACUCCCGGAGGGUGUACCUCCCGGCGCAAGCAGAGCGCGCAGCCAGUUUGGAGCCUUCGGGCUCCAGCUCUGGGAAGAAUGUGAGGCGCUCAGAAAGACGGGCCAGGGAAGGGCUGGGGCGGUGCUCGCGGUCUCGGGAGCCCGGGAGGGGGGCUAGACUAGCUCUAGGCAGUCCGAAGGUUCCUUAGCAGAUGGAUGGUUUAGCCAGUAUUUUCACCCUCCUUUUGUCUUUUUUAACCCCUCCCAGCAGUGGGAGUAAAACUCCUUGUCUCCGCCUCUGCCACGGAGCUACAUUCCCAGCUGUUUUUACUUUCUGGAUGGUACUGUUUGCAGCACAGAAGUUCUUGAUAUUGAUGUAAAUUGUACAUAUUGUGUACAUACUUAUUAUAGCUUAUGUAAUGUACACAAUUAUGUUAAAAGUACGUAUGUUAUGAGUGGUCUGAAAUGGAGAAAUCUAGCCCAUCAACGUGCAUGAUCUCACUGUGAGGUGAGAACACCCUAACAUCCAUUCUGGCAGUUUUUUUUUUUUUUUAAUAUUUAUUUUUUUUUAGUUUUCGGGGGUGACAACAUCUUUGUUUGUAUGUGGUGCUAAGGAUCAACCCAGGCCGCACGCAUGCCAGGCGAGCGCGCUACCGCUUGAGCCACAUCCCCAGCCCCAUUCUGGCAGUUUUUAAGAACACAAUACAUUGUUAACAGUAGUCACCAGGUUGUACAACAGACCUCUCCAGUUUUCCUCCUAACUGGAACUUUGUAUCCUUUUACUAAUUUCUUCCUAAACCUUUUAGUUUGAACUAAUUUCAAAUUUAUAGAACAGUUGUAAUAAAGCAGAAAAUUCUCAAAUAACUAUUCAGAUUCACCAGUUUUUUUUUUCUUUUUUUUUCUUGGAGGGGUUACUGUAAGAUCCUUACAUUGAUGCCCAAACCUGGGACGGGGGAUCUCCCUGUCACCCAAGGCAGAACCGGCUCCCAAACUCUGAGCCCAACUGUUCCUGUCGUAGUCCACUCCUCUGAUCACCUGCCUGACAUCCACCACUGACUCGCGGAUCGGUGAGUUCCCCCAUCCCAUGAGCGCCUGAACCCUAACUCACCAGAAUGAGGGAAUUGACCGAUGAGUGUCCGGCAAUCCCUCCGGGAGUUUUAGGGGUAAAUGCACCCCACUCAGACCCGUAUCUCUAUCAAAGGGUAAUAAGGCCCACUGCCCACCAGUCUCAAGGCAUCACUUUUAUGUGGGACAACUGUAUACCGCUGUCUGCCCCCUGACUGGAAACAUGCACAUGUAUUCUUGUUCUCCUGUUUCCCUAUAAAGACAGUUCCAGGAGAUACAGAAAUACCAAUCCCUCUCAUGACACACAUAAGACCCAAAAGGGCGAUCCAAUUCAUACCUCUCCUCACUACUUUAGGAAUUACAGCAGGCUUGCCAAUGGGUACAGCAGGUUUGACUACCUCCCUCACAUACUAUAAUCAAUUGUCCAAAUCAUUCAUAGAUGACCUCCAACAGGUGAUUGAGCCCAUACUUACCCUCCAAAAUCAAUUAGAUUUCUUUGCAGCAGUAGUCCUACAAAACCACCAAGGCUUAGAUCUACUCACAGUGGAAAAAGGAGGCCUCUGCCCAUUCUUACAGAAAGAAUGUUGUUUUAUGUUAAUCAGUCAGGGAUAGUGAAAGAUAAGAUUAAAAAACUACAGGAACAACUAGAAAAAAGAAGGCUGCAAUUGGUACAACAAUCCUAUUGGGACCUCUUCACAAACCCCUUAUCUGCUGGAGUCUCCCGAUGCUAGGACCUCUAGUUGGGGUCUUUUUAUUCUGUGUCUUCCUUCUUUGCAUUUUAAAUUCCUUCAAGGACAAAUUAACAAAAUCUCUAACCAAACUUUCAAUCAGUUCCUCCUCAGGGAUUACCAGCUACUUGCCAAUGAGCUGGACAACACUUAUGUCUACUCAUACUGAAAAGCCUCCACCAAGUGCUGAAAGACGAAGAUACCAAAUGACAACUCCACCGAAGGGCCAUCUCUACCCCACCAUUCCAAAGAAAUAAGCCCUUGGUUUUUAGCCAUAUAUGUUCUAACCUGCCUUCUCCUGAGCAUAGGUCUUUUUAUCUACCAGCCCUGGAUGACAUGGAUGACAUGCCAGAAAUUAAUGCUGUCUCUUUUGUUCCUUUUCGUAGCUGCAGAUUUGUGGCUUGCACUGUACCUCUGAUCCUCCUCUUAAUGAAGAUGACACCUGUUACCCUCUGAUGCAUGCAAUUCUUACAAGCCCUAGGGGAAGAUAGUUGGCUUAUCUCUCCCCCUGGGCCACCCCAAUGAAUGGCUCAUUAUAUCCAACAAUUUGUGGUUGCAGGGCACGUUCAUGGACUUCUCCCCGGAGGAAAUCCAUGCUUUCAGCACAUGGAUGUGGGGCCUCCUGGCCCUCCUUCUCCAACCAACUGACCUCCCUCCCUCUAAACAACACCCCUACUUAGCAGGAAGAAGCCAGAACUAGUAUGAUGCCCCCAAACCAAAACAAAAAAGGGAGGAAUGUUGGUAAAGAUGGCGCCCGAAGUGCAUCUCUUCCGGGAGUUCAGGUCCAUGAUGCACUGAAUGGCGUGAACUACCACCUAAGUGGCACAAACCAUCACCUCCAAUCCCUGAAAUGGCGCAAACUGUGACCUCCCACCCCUAGGAGACUAAUACCCUGUCCUGCCCAGAAAUGGACCCUUGGUCAAUAAAGAAGUAAGAGCCAACUCCCCAUGCUCAUUCUCUCU
rnacentral:lncRNA from 1 species